CGAGCCGGGCGGACGGCCGCGUGGAGACCCCCUGACGGGGAGCUCCCCGAGGAACGUCCGGGCUCCACAGGGCAGGGUGAUGGCUAACGGCCACCCGGGGUGACCCGCGGGACAGUGCCACAGAAAACAGACCGCCGGAGGCUUCGGUCCCCGGUAAGGGUGAAACGGUGGUGUAAGAGACCACCAGCGCCUGAGGCGACUCAGGCGGCUAGGUAAACCCCACCCGGAGCAAGGUCAAAAGGAAACACCCCGGUGUUUCUGCGCGGACGUUCGAGGGCUGCCCGCCCGAGUCCGCGGGUAGACCGCUGGAGGCCGGUGGCAACGCCGGCCCUAGAUGGAUGGCCGUCUCCCCGGCCGCCGCGAGGCGACCGGGCGACAGAACCCGGCGUACAGCCCGACUCGUCUG
rfam:Streptomyces sp. AVP053T2 APS67_contig000036, whole genome shotgun sequence.